UUUUUUUUUUUUUGUAAAUAUGGUCACUAAAACAUCGUAGGUAUUAGGUAGUUUCAACUUUAGAGACUUAGUGACAGUUUGUUGUGAUCGUCAAUUUUAAAGAAUGUAUUCAUUAAUGAAAAUGUAAUGUUAAUUAUUUUUUUUUUGUAAAUAAUUUAUUGUUUGUUUUUAUCUUCAUAUGCAAUCAACUGUAAAAAUCAAAAUUGGAUUUGUAUGUUUUAUACACAAUCAAAUGUUAAAUAAGUUGUUGUUGUUUAUUAUUAUUAUUGCUUAACAUUUUAGAAUUCAUUGUGUUAUAAUUUAGUGCAUCUAUGACUGCAAUAUAGUAGCCACCCUACACAAUCUUUUCAAUGGAAAUAUUAUUAACUGGACUUUCAAACUGCAUUGCAUACAUUUGCUACAUUAAUAUUAUUAGUGAAAGUAAAUGUGAUUGGUCAUUGCAUGGGCCAUUUGACACCCUUAAAGAUGGAAACAGGUAAAGUUUACAUCAUCUGCCUCUUGGAUCACCACUGGUCCGAAAAAAGUUUCCCACAUUGGUUGUAGGCAAUAGUAUAGUGUCUUUAUAAUAGGUUAAUAUUACUGUAGUAUUGUUUUAUAGAGUUAAGAAUACAAUUUUGUUUAAUAUGUUACUAUUAUUGUACUAUCUGGACAUUUCUGUUUUUUUUUUAAUAGUUAAAAUUAAUAUAAUGAAAAAGAAAUUGACACAUUGUUCAGUAUAAUGUUUCUUGGUGUAAUGUCUGAAUUAAUCAAAUAAAUAUUUUUGUUUCUUUGCAAAAACA